rnacentral:rRNA from 1 species
AAUCAACGCUGGCGGCGUGCCUCAGACAUGCAAGUCGAACGCGAAAGUCCCCUUCGGGGGACAAGUAGAGUGGCGCACGGGUGAGUAACACGUAGGUAAUCUACCUUUGGAUGGGGAAUAACAACCGGAAACGGUUGCUAAUACCGCAUAAUGCAGCGGCACCUAAUGGUGACAGUUGUUAAAGCGGGGGAUCGAAAGACCUCGCGUCUAAAGAGGAGCCUGCGGCGGAUUAGCUAGUUGGAAGGUAAUGGCUUACCAAGGCUACGAUCCGUAACCGGCCUGAGAGGGCGGUCGGUCACACUGACACUGACAUACGGGUCAGACUCCUACGGGAGGCAGCAGUCGGGAAUUUUGGGCAAUGGGCGAAAGCCUGACGCAGCGACGCCGCGUGUGGGAUGACGGUCUUCGGAUUGUAAACCACUGUCGGGAGGGACGAAUACGCCGCAAGGCGGGUGACGGUACCUCCAAAGGAAGCACCGGCUAACUCCGUGCCAGCAGCCGCCGCGGUAAC